rnacentral:tRNA from 1 species
AUUCAAGUAGUUUAUAAAAACACUUCAUUUUCAAUGAAGAAAAGGAAUAAAAAUUCCCUAGAAUA